rnacentral:rRNA from 1 species
GUGAGGAAUAUUGGUCAAUGGGCGAGAGCCUGAACCAGCCAAGUAGCGUGCAGGAUGACGGCCCUAUGGGUUGUAAACUGCUUUUACACGGGGAUAAAGUGUGCGACGUGUCGUUCAUUGCAGGUACCGUGCGAAUAAGGACCGGCUAAUUCCGUGCCAGCAGCCGCGGUAAUACGGAAGGUCCGGGCGUUAUCCGGAUUUAUUGGGUUUAAAGGGAGCGUAGGCCGUCUGUUAAGCGUGUUGUGAAAUGUAGAUGCUCAACAUCUGAAGUGCAGCGCGAACUGACCGACGUGAGUGCGCAGGAAGUAGGAGGAAUUCGUGGUGUAGCGGUGAAAUGCUUAGAUAUCACGAAGAACUCCGAUUGCGAAGGCAGCUUACUGUAGCGCCACUGACGCUGAAGCUCGAAAGUGCGGGUAUCGAACAGGAUUAGAAACCCUGGUAGUCC